AACCAGAAAGUCACGGCUAACUACGUGCCAGCAGCCGCGGUAAUACGUAGGUGGCAAGCGUUAUCCGGAUUUAUUGGGCGUAAAGAGAGUGCAGGCGGUUUUCUAAGUCUGAUGUGAAAGCCUUCGGCUUAACCGGAGAAGUGCAUCGGAAACUGGAUAACUUGAGUGCAGAAGAGGGUAGUGGAACUCCAUGUGUAGCGGUGNAAUGCGUAGAUAUAUGGAAGAACACCAGUGGCGAAGGCGGCUACCUGGUCUGCAACUGACGCUGAGACUCGAAAGCAUGGGUAGCGAACAGGAUUAGAUACCCUGGUAGUCCAUGCCGUAAACGAUGAGUGCUAGGUGUUGGAGGGUUUCCGCCCUUCAGUGCCGGAGCUAACGCAUUAAGCACUCCGCCUGGGGAGUACGACCGCAAGGUUGAAACUCAAAGGAAUUGACGGGGGCCCGCACAAGCGGUGGAGCAUGUGGUUUAAUUCGAAGCUACGCGAAGAACCUUACCAGGUCUUGACAUCUUGCGCCAACCCUAGAGAUAGGGCGUUUCCUUCGGGAACGCAAUGACAGGUGGUGCAUGGUCGUCGUCAGCUCGUGUCGUGAGAUGUUGGGUUAAGUCCCGCAACGAGCGCAACCCUUGUUACUAGUUGCCAGCAUUAAGUUGGGCACUCUAGUGAGACUGCCGGUGACAAACCGGAGGAAGGUGGGGACGACGUCAGAUCAUCAUGCCCCUUAUGACCUGGGCUACACACGUGCUACAAUGGACGGUACAACGAGUCGCGAACUCGCGAGGGCAAGCAAAUCUCUUAAAACCGUUCUCAGUUCGGACUGCAGGCUGCAACUCGCCUGCACGAAGUCGGAAUCGCUAGUAAUCGCGGAUCAGCAUGCCGCGGUGAAUACGUUCCCGGGCCUUGUACACACCGCCCGUCACACCAUGAGAGUUUGUAACACCCAAAGNCGGUGGGGUANCCUUUUAGGAGCCAGCCGNNUAAGGUGGGACAGAUGAUUAGGGNGAAGUCGUAACA
rnacentral:rRNA from 1 species